UACAGAGGUCUCAAGCGUUGUUCGGAUUCAUUGGGCGUAAAGGGUGCGUAGGCGGCGCGGUAAGUCGGGUGUGAAAUCUCGGAGCUUAACUCCGAAACUGCAUUCGAUACUGCCGUGCUUGAGGACUGGAGAGGAGACUGGAAUUUACGGUGUAGCGGUGAAAUGCGUAGAUAUCAGGAGGAACACCGAUGGCGAAGGCAGAUCUCUGGGCCGUAACUGACGCUGAGGAGCGAAAGCAUGGGGAGCGAACAGG
rnacentral:rRNA from 1 species